rnacentral:lncRNA from 1 species
CCAGAUUAUCCUUUGGCCAUUUCUACUUUACGUUUUCAGGGUGAAGAAAGAAAAGGAAGGGAAAAUAAGAAUGUAUAAGAAAAAUAGAAGUUAGUGAGAAAAAAGAAAUGCGGAAAUAAGAGAUUAAAAGAUAAAUGAUACUGAGAUCAAGAGGAUUUAGUCAGAGAUCUCACUUUGUCACUUGUGAUCCAGAGAUGAUGGGUAGAAGAGACACAAGAAAACAGAAAAUACAAAAAAUAAUUAUAUGCUUCAAGAAAAUAACAUUGAAGUUCAUAGUGAGUUAUCACUGA